rnacentral:tRNA from 1 species
AGUCUUAUAGUCAAAAAUGAUAUUAAAUUGCAAAUUUAAAGGUAAAUUAAAUUUUAAGGCUU